GACGAACGCUGGCGGCGUGCUUAACACAUGCAAGUCGAACGGAAAGGCCCCCACCUUGGUGGGGGUGCUCGAGUGGCGAACGGGUGAGUAACACGUGGGUGAUCUGCCCUGUACUUCGGGAUAAGCUUGGGAAACUGGGUCUAAUACCGGAUAGGACCAUGGUUUAGUGUCUCAUGGUGGAAAAAUUAUUGUUUUGGUGCAGGAUGAGCUCGCGGCCUAUCAGCUUGUUGGUGGGGUAAUGGCCUACCAAGGCGUCGACGGGUAGCCGGCCUGAGAGGGUGGACGGCCACAUUGGGACUGAGAUACGGCCCAGACUCCUACGGGAGGCAGCAGUGGGGAAUAUUGCGCAAUGGGCGCAAGCCUGAUGCAGCGACGCCGCGUGGGGGAUGACGGCCUUCGGGUUGUAAACUCCUUUCGUUAGGGACGAAGCCACACCUUUUUUGGGUGUGGUGACGGUACCUUUGUGAAGAAGCACCGGCUAACUACGUG
rnacentral:rRNA from 1 species